rnacentral:rRNA from 1 species
UACGUAGGGUGCAAGCGUUGUCCGGAAUCAUCGAGCGUAAAGCGCGCGUAGGUGGCUUCGUAAGUCCGUUGUGAAAGUCAAAGGCUCAACCUUUGAAUGCCGAUGGAUACUGCGAAGCUAGAGUACGGAAGAGGCGAGUGGAAUUCCUGGUGUAGCGGUGGAAUGCGCAGAUAUCAGGAGGAACACCAAUAGCGAAGGCAGCUCGCUGGGACGUUACUGACACUAAGGCGCGAAAGCGUGGGGAGCGAACAGG